UGAGCCCACGUGCUGCAACUACAGAAGCGCGUGCCUAGAGCCCAUGCUCCACAAGAGAAGCCAUGCAAUGAGAGGCCGGGUCACUGUAACUAGAGUAGCCACCACUCACUACAGCUAGAGGAAGCCCUCAUACAGUAAAGAAGACCCAACACAGACAAUAAAAAACUUAGAGAAAUCCCCCCGAAUAAAUAAUUCUUAAAAAAAAUAUUCCCAGGGGACCUUCGUUCUAUCUCUGGUCAGGAACUGAGACUCCCACAUGCUGCGGGGCAGCUAAGCCCUCACAUCACUCCUAGAGAGCCGGCGCUCUCCUCACGUCACGCCUAGAGAGCCGGCGCUGCCCACACCUCAAGCCUAGAGAGCGGCACUCUCCUGACGUCACGCCUAGAGAGCCUGCACUCUCCUCACAUCACGCCUAGAGAGCUGCACUCUCCUCACGUCAGGCCUAGAGAGCCGGCGCUCUCCUCAGCCAGCACUCCCCUCACCUCACGCCUAGAGAGCCGGCACUCGCCUCAAGUCAGGCCUAGAGAGCCUGCACUCCCCUCACGUCACGCCUAGAGAGCGGCACUCUCCUCACGUCAGGCCUAGAGAGCUGGCGCUCUCCUCAGCCAGCACUCUCCUCACGUCACGCCUAGAGAGCCGGCGCUCUCCUCAGCCAGCACUCUCCUCACGUCAUGCCUAAAGAACUCAUUUCAUAAUUUAAAAAAAAACAAAGGGAAUAAAAGGGUCUCACUGCUUCAACUGUGGGUUUGAGCACACAAAGUGGACACCUUGGAAAAGCCCCAGAGAAUUUCAGCCUGAGGCCAAACUGCUUAUUAUCAGCAAGCAAGCGCACACUGCCAAGCCCCACUUGUGUCUUUCACCAGCACGUGUGCAUGCCUGGAGGCUUACCUAUCAAGUAAUGCCAGCAAGGCGAGACUCUCUAGAAGAAAUCAAAACA